GGUAAGUCCGAGUAUCGUUUUCCCAAAGGACUCUUAGGCCUUAACUUUCGUGUAACCUAAUCGCGUAAGACUUGAGAAGAGAAUAAAUUUAGUGGUUAUAUGCAAAGAACAAAAAUAAACAUGCAAUGCAGUUGAUUCAAUUGGUUUUGAGAAACUAUGAAUGAAUGGUCUUGUUGGGGUUUACAAUUUCAUCUUAUCCACUCUCAUAUAUCUACCCUUCUUAUUUACUUCACUUAUUUAUCUCAUUGCCAUGCACACUUUCUUAUUUACCCUUAACCCAAUCCCUUGGUGAAAAGAGCCUAUUUUUAAUUACCGACUUGUUAUCCCUAGCCUCCCCUAGUAACCAAUAAUGCAAUGCGAUCGGAAGCAACUACAAUUGAUCAUCUUACCCCUAUCCCUAGGCGAUAUUGGCAUAAUCAAGGAAUUUCCCACCAG
rnacentral:lncRNA from 1 species